CUGCUGCGCCGCUUCCGGUCCAGUAAGUGCAGGGCCGGCUCCUCCGUAGUGAGUUCACGCUGAGCGCCCGAAAGCCCCACGCCUUCGCUGCUUCUCUGCGCUACACGGCCCCGCGCGGCUGCCCCAACUAGUGAAGACCACAUCCCCGCAGACCGUUUCCUGGGGUUGUCAUUAGCGUUCCUUUGCCUGACUCCGUGGCUGUACCAGUGGAGACAGAAUCUCGCUAAUUUGACCCGCUGGGCUCCAAACUUUGAUUCUCCUGCCUCAGCCCUCUAAUGGCAGGGAUUACAACCAUGUGCCACCGAACAGGGCUAAAUUCCUCAUUUUUAUAUCUUCUUAUGGUGAAUGCAAAUUUCGCUAAAGUGGUCAACAAAUUCCACCAAAUAAAGUUCCAUCCAAACAAUUUUAAAGGGCCUGAUGUUCUUCCUAAAAUGAGUUUGGUGAUUAGAAAUCUGCAACGCGCGAUCCCCAUUAGGAGAGUGCCACUUCGCAGGAAUGUGGAGAUUGUAAGGAAUGUUUUAGGAGUGGAGAAAUUUGACCUGGGGAUCAUCUUUCUUGACAACAAGAAUAUUCAGCAUAUUAAUGGGAUCUACAGGAAGAAAAGUGUCCCAACCGAUGUGCUUUCGUUUCCAUUUCAUGAGAAUCUGAAAGCAGGUGAAAUUCCCCAGCCUAGUUUUCCAGGUGACUAUAAUCUGGGAGACAUUUUCUUAGGUGUGGAGUAUAUCUUCCAGCAGUGCAAAGAAAAUGAAGAUUACUAUGACAUUCUGACUGUAAGUAAAGAUGCUGAAAUCAUAUCCUGGCUCAUGAAACACGUGCCAUGCACAGGGGUUAGGAAGGAGACCACUGUGUGCACACCAAGUGCCCCAGGUGCUCGGGGGUUGCAGCAGGAGAACUCACAAGCAGAGAGGAGUACCCAGGCCUGUGAAAAACAGGGCUCCCAGGAGCCCUCUAGAACUCAUCCAUGGGAAUCAGUAAGCUGUGUUUUCACUCAGACAGACCUGCUAGAUCAGCUUCUUCAGCCGCCAGAAACAUGAAGAAUCUGAGUUUUUUAGGAGCUUCCAUACUUGCUAUGGGUUCUUUGGCAGUACAGCCACCACCUGGACUGUCUGACAUACCCUGGGGUUGUGGUGGCAAAUCUAAGGCACACCUGUUGUUUUUCUUUCAGGACAAAAGUUGUUAAUGUGUAAGUUGCUUUUCUACGCUCAGGCCUCAGUAUUCAGGUUUAAUUGCAGUAUUGGCCAGCUCCCUCUCACCGCUUCUGCCUUGGUCGGCUCAGUUCUCUUUGCCCCCCACCCUAGAUCUGUACCCAGCUCCCCCUAGUUCUCUACCUUGAAGAGUGCAGUUGCUGGGUUCCCAUUUCAGAGAGAGAGCUGAGGUGGGGCACUUGAAUCUGCCCAUGACGGUGGCUGGCUCUUGCACAGUACCCUCCCUGGGUGAAGAACAGCUUGGUUUUCCAAGGGCAGCUGGGACCCUGGGGAUGACCUUGAAAGGGCAGCUUUCUGUGCUGUCAACCCCUAAACCAGUUUUUUAAUUUUCCAACAGGUGACAGCCACCCAUGGACUCUGUCACCUAUUGGGCUUCACACACAACUCGGAAGCAGAGUGGCAGAAGAUGUACCUCCAGGAGAAGCAGGUGCUGGA